GCAGGGCCUCACCUAGGAAAUUUGAGUGU
rnacentral:piRNA from 1 species